UACAGAGGUCUCAAGCGUUGUUCGGAUUCAUUGGGCGUAAGGGUGCGUAGGCGGCGCGGUAAGUCGGGUGUGAAAUCUCGGGGCUUAACUCCGAACUGCAUUCGAUACUGCCGUGCUUGAGGACUGGAGAGGAGACUGGAAUUUACGGUGUAGCGGUGAAAUGCGUAGAUAUCGUAAGGAAGACCAGUGGCGAAGGCGGGUCUCUGGACAGUUCCUGACGCUGAGGCACGAAGGUCAGGGGAGCAAACGGG
rnacentral:rRNA from 1 species